rnacentral:tRNA from 1 species
AUCCUAGUUAUAUUUAAUAUGGUUUCGGCCCAUAUAAGAACAAUAAGCUUUGUUUUAGGAUU